GGGGAUGAUCUGGAUUCGACGUUGAUUACAAAGCUAGUGGUGCAUGCCGAGAGGGUAAGACGAUCUCGUAAAUCAACGUUUUACAUUUAUAUAGUCGCAAACGACGAAAACUACGCACUAGCUGCUUAAUUGCAGCUUACCUCUGAACCCCGGUGCCUAUAACAGGGGGACGAGGGCUAAGCCCUAUAGGAUCGCUUGGAUGCUUCGCUCGGAGUUGAAGAGCUAAACCGAAUCGAGCUCGUUCUGAACGCCCUGCCCCUCGGGCCGUGACGAACUAAAUUAAUAGAGACGGCUAAGCAUGUAGAUCUCCUAGUGGAGGAUUGGCGGACGCGGGUUCAAAUCCCGCCAUCUCCACCA
rnacentral:tmRNA from 1 species